rnacentral:precursor_RNA from 16 species
CUGUGUGCAUCUCUCCCCGGCGUGCCCUGUCCUUUUUGUGGUUUGGGGCUUUUGAGAUGAUGACAGAAAAGCCCUUACCUCAAAAGGGAUAGGGUUCUGCUGCAUGUAGCGACAUAUACG